UCGCCAGACUCCUACGGGAGGCAGCAGUGGGGAAUAUUGCACAAUGGGGGGAACCCUGAUGCAGCGACGCCGCGUGGGUGAAGAAGUCAUUCGUGACGUAAAGCCCUAUCAGCAGGGAAGAAAAUGACGGUACCUGACUAAGAAGCCCCGGCUAACUACGUGCCAGCAGCCGCGGUAAUACGUAGGGGGCAAGCGUUAUCCGGAUUUACUGGGUGUAAAGGGGGCGCAGACGGCGAUGCAGGCCAGGAGUGAAAGCCCGGGGCCCAACCCCGGGACUGCUCUUGGAACUGCGUGGCUGGAGUGCAGGAGGGGCAGGCGGAAUUCCUGGUGUAGCGGUGAAAUGCGUAGAUAUUAGGAGGAACACCAGUGGCGAAGGCGGCUUACUGGACGAUGACUGACGCUGAGGCUCGAAAGCGUGGGGAGCAAACAGGAUUAGAUACCCUAGUA
rnacentral:rRNA from 1 species